rnacentral:misc_RNA from 1 species
AUAUAUAUAUAUAUAUAUGAUAUUAAGAUCAUUAUUUUGUUUAUGAUCUAUCUCUUGCUAUACCACGUAUAAGUAGGUGUUGAUUUGCAGGAUUUGGUAUGGAAGCUUUGAGCAAGUGUUAUUUUUUGGUUAAUUUGGUUAAUGAAAGUUGUUCUGGCACUUAUUAAUCUAUGAAAAAAAUAAUGUAUGAAUGAAUGUUGUAUUUUUAGUAGAAGAAUGGGAGAG